rnacentral:rRNA from 1 species
AACGAACGCUGGCGGCAGGCUUAACACAUGCAAGUCGAACGCAUCCUUCGGGGUGAGUGGCAGACGGGUGAGUAACGCGUGAGAACGUGCCCUUCAGUUCGGGAUAACCCAGGGAAACUUGGGCUAAUACCGGAUACGUGCGAGAGCAGAAAGAUUUAUCGCUGAAGGAUCGGCCCGCGUCUGAUUAGCUAGUUGGUGGGGUAAUGGCCCACCAAGGCGAAGAUCAGUAGCUGGUCUGAGGGGAUGAUCAGCCACAUUGGGACUGAGACACGGCCCAAACUCCUACGGGAGGCAGCAGUGGGGAAGAUUGGACAAUGGGCGCAAGCCUGAUCCAGCCAUGCCGCGUGAGUGAUGAAGGCCUUAGGGUUGUAAAGCUCUUUCGUCCGGGACGAUAAUGACGGUACCGGAAGAAGAAGCCCCGGCUAACUUCGUGCCAGCCGCCGCAGUAA